GCCCAGGUGGCGAAACUGGUAGACGCGCUAGCUUGAGGGGCUAGUGGGAGCAAUCCCGUGGAAGUUCGAGUCUUCUCCUGGGCACCA
rnacentral:tRNA from 1 species